rnacentral:tRNA from 1 species
UCCCUGCUGUUCCAGUGGUUAAGACUCUGCACUCCUGAUGCAGAGGUCAGGGCUUCAAUCCCUGGUCAGGGAA